UACGAAGGGUGCAAGCGUUACUCGGAAUUACUGGGCGUAAAGCGUGCGUAGGUGGUUCGUUAAGUCUGAUGUGAAAGCCCUGGGCUCAACCUGGGAACUGCAUUGGAUACUGGCGGUCUAGAGUGCGGUAGAGGGUGGCGGAAUUCCCGGUGUAGCAGUGAAAUGCGUAGAUAUCGGGAGGAACAUCCGUGGCGAAGGCGGCCACCUGGACCAGCACUGACACUGAGGCACGAAAGCGUGGGGAGCAAACAGG
rnacentral:rRNA from 1 species